CUCUAAAAUCAGCCCUCUGUUUUUCCAGGUCUUUAAGGGUGAAUUUCAGCUACCUGAUUUUCUUAAAGAACAAACACAGCUUCAGAAGUCCCCAGAAAAGCCAAACCCAAGUUAGGAGGAGAAGAUGAGAGCUUUAUCAGUAGAAGGCUGAGUAGAAGCAGAUGCCGUGGGACCAUGAUGGACUUGCAUCACCCCCGCUAUGCUGGGACCUCCAUGCAUGGAAACACACACACACACACACACACACACACACACAGACAGAUAGACAGACAGAGACAGGCCUCUGAACCCGGACCACUCUUUGGAGGACAGUUUUGGCCUUUGAUGUUGUACUGUAACAAUUGUGGCCUAAGAAUGUCAUUGCUGUUCUGAAUU